UUGGGAAUCUUGCACAAUGGGGGAAACCCUGAUGCAGCGACGCCGCGUGGAGGAUGAAGGAUCUAGGUCUGUAAACUCCUUUUUCAGGGAAAGACUUAGGACGGUACCCUGAGAAUAAGGACCGGCUAACUACGUGCCAGCAGCCGCGGUAAGACGUAGGGUCCAAGCGUUGUCCGGAUUUACUGGGCGUAAAGAGCGCGUAGGCGGCUCGUUAAGUGUGAAGUGAAAUCUCCAGGGCUCAACCCGGAACUGCUUUACAUACUGGCGAGCUGGAGUGAUGCAGAGGUUUGUGGAAUUCCUGGUGUAA
rnacentral:rRNA from 1 species